UACGGGGGGGGCAAGCGUUGUUCGGAAUUACUGGGCGUAAAGGGCUCGUAGGUGGCCUCUUAAGUCAGACGUGAAAUCCCUCGGCUCAACCGGGGAACUGCGUCUGAUACUGGGAGGCUUGAAUCCGGGAGAGGGACGUGGAAUUCCAGGUGUAGCGGUGAAAUGCGUAGAUAUCUGGAGGAACACCGGUGGCGAAGGCGGCGUCCUGGACCGGUAUUGACACUGAGGAGCGAAAGCCAGGGGAGCAAACGGG
rnacentral:rRNA from 1 species